rnacentral:rRNA from 1 species
GGAUGAACGCUAGCGGCAGGCUUAACACAUGCAAGUCGAGGGGCAGCAUAAACAUUGCUUGCAAUGUUUGAUGGCGACCGGCGCACGGGUGCGUAACGCGUAUGCAACCUACCUGUAACAGGGGGAUAACACUGAGAAAUUGGUACUAAUACCCCGUAACAUCACGGAAGGCAUCUUCUGUGGUUGAAAGUUCCGGCGGUUACAGAUGGGCAUGCGUUGUAUUAGCUAGUAGGUGAGGUAACGGCUCACCUAGGCGACGAUACAUAGGGGGACUGAGAGGUUAACCCCCCACAUUGGUACUGAGACACGGACCAA